AUUGAACGCUGGCGGCAGGCUUAACACAUGCAAGUCGAGCGGAGAUGAGGUGCUUGCACCUUAUCUUAGCGGCGGACGGGUGAGUAAUGCUUAGGAAUCUGCCUAUUAGUGGGGGACAACAUUCCGAAAGGAAUGCUAAUACCGCAUACGUCCUACGGGAGAAAGCAGGGGAUCUUCGGACCUUGCGCUACUAGAUGAGCCUAAGUCGGAUUAGCUAGUUGGCGGGGUAAAGGCCUACCAAGGCGACGAUCUGUAGCGGGUCUGAGAGGAUGAACCGAAACACUGGGACUGGAACAAGGCCCAGACUCCUACGGGAGGCAGCAGUGGGGAAUAUUGGAAAAUGGGGGGAACCCUGAUCCAGCCAUGCCGCAUGUGUGAAGAAGGCCUUAUGGUUGUAAAGCACUUUAAGCGAGGAGGAGGCUACUGAGACUAAUACUCUUGGAUAGUGGACGUUACUCGCAGAAUAAGCACCGUCUAACUCUGUGCCAGCCGCCGCGGUAA
rnacentral:rRNA from 1 species